rnacentral:rRNA from 1 species
GCCAGCAGCCAUAUCAAUCUGCAACUCACCACUGAAACUAAGCAGGUGUGAGCCUGGUCAGUACCUGGAUGGGAGACUUCCUGGGAAAAACUAAGGUUGCUGCUGGAA